CAGGACUCGCAAGACUCCUACAACCCUGUGAACUUAACUAUAAGCACGUUGCUUCGGCGGGUGUCUCGGCGAGGGUCCUCCCUCCCCGGGGCGCUAAGCCCGCCGGCAGCCUACUAUACUCUGUCUCUUUGCGUUGGCAUCUCGAGUAUAAUCAAACAAGUUA
rnacentral:misc_RNA from 1 species